GAGAGUGGGUAGUCCGCACGAGCGCACCCUAUCCUUAGUUGCCAGCACAUUAUGGUGGGGACUCUAAGGAGACUGCCUGGGGUCACCAGGAGGAAGGUGGGGAUGAUGUCAAGUCAGUAUGUCCCUUAUGUCCAGGGCUACACACGUGUUACAAUGGUUGGUACAGAGGGCAGCUAAGCCGCAAGGUGGAGCCAAUCCCCCAAAACCAACCCCAGUUCGGAUUGGAGUCUGCAACUCGACUCCAUGAAGCAGGAAUCGCUAGUAAUCGUGGAUCAGAACGCCACGGUGAAUACGUUCCCGGGUCUUGUACACACCGCCCGUCACGCCAUGGAAGUCAGUAGUACCCGAAUCGGGUGGCCCAACCUUAGGGAGGGAGCUCGUUAAGGUAAGACUGGUAACUGGGGCGAAGUCGUAACAAGGUAGCCGUACCGGAAGGUGCGGCUGGAUCACCUCCUUUU
rnacentral:rRNA from 1 species